rnacentral:piRNA from 1 species
AGCACUAGAGUGGAAGCUCAGGAA